CUUAGAUAUUUUAAAUACAAAAAUAUCCGCCAGAGAAUUACGAGCUAAACAUGCUUAAAACUCUAAGGACUUGGCGGUACCUCAAACCCACCUAGAGGAGCCUGUUCUAUAAUCGACAAUCCACGAUUCACCUCACCAUCUCUUGCCAACUCCGCCUAUAUACCGCCGUCAUAGCUUACCUUAUGAAAGAUAAAAAGUAAGCAAAAUAAUCUAAACAAUUAACAAAUCAGGUCAAGGUGUAGCUUACUGAGAUGGAAGAAAUGGGCUACAUUUUCUAUAUUAGAAAUAACUACGGAAAGAUACCUUGAAAUAGGUUCUACAAGCAGGAUUUAGCAGUAAACUGGGAAAAGAGAGCCCAA
rnacentral:rRNA from 1 species